GACGAACGCUGGCGGCGUGCCUAAUACAUGCAAGUUGAGCGCUGAAGGUUGGUACUUGUACCAACUGGAUGAGCAGCGAACGGGUGAGUAACGCGUGGGGAAUCUGCCUUUGAGCGGGGGACAACAUUUGGAAACGAAUGCUAAUACCGCAUAAAAACUUUAAACACAAGUUUUAAGUUUGAAAGAUGCAAUUGCAUCACUCAAAGAUGAUCCCGCGUUGUAUUAGCUAGUUGGUGAGGUAAAGGCUCACCAAGGCGAUGUUACAUAGCCGACCUGAGAGGGUGAUCGGCCACAUUGGGACUGAGACACGGCCCAAACGCCUACGGGAGGCAGCAGGAGGGAAUCUUCGGCAAUGGGCGAAAGUCUGACCGAGCAACGCCGCGGGAGGGAAGAAGGUUGUCGGAUCGUAAAACUCGGUUGGUAGAGAAGAACGUUGGUGAGAGUGGAAAGCUCAGCAAGUGACGGUAACUACCCAGAAAGGGACGGCUAACUACGUG
rnacentral:rRNA from 1 species